CUACUUCAGAAGCUUUUUCUGUCCUAGUAGGAAGGACUUCUACCUAUCUUGCGAAAGUAUCCACACAUAGUAGCAGAUACCUCAAGUUUCUGGCAACCUUCAGCAUCAUGGUGACAUCUGUUUGCCAGUCCUCACUGGUGGUUUUUUUUUUUUUUAAACUUUUCUCUCUUCUCUUCCUUCUUCCUCCUUUUCUUCUUCUUCCUCUACUUCCUCUCUUCCUCCUCCUUCCUCUCCUCCUCCUCCUUCUUCUUCUUCUUCUUGUUCUUCUUCCUUGUCCUCCUCCUCCUUCUCCUCUUCCUUCUCCUCCUCCUCCUCCCCUUCCUCUUCUUCAUCUGCUUCUGCUUCCUGAUUUUUAGAGAUGGGGUCUUGCUAUGUUGCCCAGGCUGGUAUUGAACUCCUGGGAUCAAAAGAUCCUCCUGCUUCAGCCACCCACAGUGCUGGGAUUAUAGGCUUGAGCCUCGGCCCCUGACCCCUCACCUGGUCUUAACCUCCUGGCUUGAACUCCUUUUAUGACUGAGAUGGACCAGUCUUUAUGUUAUGGAGUAACCCAUUUUUCUAAAAGAUGAUUUAAUUUGUUUCCCUUGUUCCCUACUUCCUACUUAGCCCUUUAGAAAAGCAAAUAUAGCCUUUUACCCUCUCCUUCAUCAGACCCCCCACACAGGGCAAGUUCAUCUGUCUCCUGGAGAGUUAAUAAUCAAUUUACAGACCAAAGCAUCCCCACUAAGGAACUCCCUCCAUCAGGAGGUGGCCUCAAGAGAUAAGAGUCUGUCCAUGAAGGUGCCAGCAGUCACCAGCUUGACUGCCUACUGGAUAAGGCACCAGAGCUUACGUGGACCCCUCACUUUGAUUAUUUCCUCCUUGCCUUUUAAAAGUGCCUGCUUUCUGCCCCAAAAGUGAAGCAGUAUGGCAGGACGCCUGUGCCUCUUCCCCAAGCUAGCUUUGGAAUAAACCACUUUCUUCAUACCAGAUCUCACUCUUGUUAAUUGGACUCUGCAUGUGGUGAAUAAGUAACCUGAUGUUCAGUUACAUUUGGUUUAUUCUUUGUACAGAUCACACAUUGGUGUAUUACCUUUUGGAUUGUUCUCCACAAGUUGGGUCCAAUGAUAUAUUUUUGUAUCCAUUGUAGUGUAGCAUCCCUACCAUAGUGAGUGCUCUUGUGGACAUGACUAAUUACUUCUUCCAUUAAGUGCUGAGGAAUCAGUACCUUUUCUUGUCUAUUGCAUAUCCCUCUUUCCUUAGUAUACUUUUAUGUGGUGUCCUGAGAACAUAUCAGUCCCCAGUUAAAUCCCCAUUGAUUGAAUCUUUCCAAGUCCUUGGGGGAGUAGAUGGGCUUACUUUUUGAUGAGGGUGUAUUUAGUUUGAGCUGGACAUGUCCUGAUGAGUGUCACUACAGCAUUUUCAGCCAUCCAUAUCCCUCGAUUCAUGAAACUACUUCCAUCAGUGAAUCAGAUUUGGAUCUUUUAGGGGUUGAUUUACUGAGUUGAGCUGGCUAGAAUAAACUUGACCGAUAAUUUGAAUACAAUAAUGAAUAGUUUCUUCCAUGCUACUCAGGAGUAAGGUGGUGAGAUUCAAGAUGGAGACUACUUUUAGUUUCACAUUCGAGUUGCCCAGCAGUAAUGUUUGGUAUUUUUCUAGCCUCCCAGGUAUAAGCCAAUGUUCUCCUUUUUGCUCUAAAAGAGAUAACGUGUAAUGUGGGGUGUGAAUUGUAGUAGGCUGUCCUGUGGUAAACUUGUCAGCCUCUAAGAAGAGCAAGUCACAAAUGAUUGCUACUGCCUGAAGUCAAACUGGCCAUCUUUGUAUGACAACAUCUAGUUCUGAAAAAUAAGCCACAGGUUUCUUAUGGGCCCUAAAUUCUGAGUUAACACCCCAGGGCUUACUUGCUGUCUUUCAUGACAAAAAGGUCAGAAGAUUUUCUUAGACCUGGAAGGCCUAGGGAAGGAGCAAUCAUCAAUUUUUCUUUUAUGUCCUGGAAAACUCUGUGACAUUCUCCAGUCCAUUUUAGGGGUUCCUUGUCCUCAUCUUUCAUGGCUUCCUAAAGGGGCUUAGCCAUGAACUCAAAGUUGGGAAUCCAAAUUCAGAAAAAUCCUACCAUUCCCAAAAAAACCCUAGGGGAGUAGUGAUCUGUCUAUCUAUCUAUCUAUCUGUCUGUCUAUCUAUCUAUCUAUCUAUCUAUCUAUCUAUCUAUCUAUCUAUCUAUCUACCUACCUGUUGGUUUUCAGCCACAGUUCCAUGCUCGCCACUCCCAUAGCCUUACUUAUAGUCUUUUGUUACAAUGUUGAAUGUGUCAGGUCUCAGGAAACAGAAUCUCUCUGACAUUUUAUCAUGCCCACCUCUCACCUGCUCCGAGGCAGGACUCUAAUCUUCCCCUGGCUUUCUGACUGUUGGUCAUAAGACCUUCAUUCCAGAGAGGGUCUCAUUCCAUACCCUGGGGGAAGGAAUGCUGGCAUCCUGAAGCUUCCAUAAAAACCCAAGAGGACAGGGUUCAGGGAGCAUGUGGAUAGCUGGAUGUGUGGAGGCUCCUGGAGAGUGGCAUGCCCAGGGAGAGCAUGGAAGCUCUGCACCCCUUCCCCCAUACCCUACCCUACACACCUCUUUAUCUGUAUUUAUCCUUCCUUUCUAAUAUCCCUUAUAAUAAACUCGUAAACAUAAGUUAGUGUUUCCUUGAGCUCUGUGAGCAGCUUGAGCAGCUCCUGCAAAUUAACUGACCCUAAAGAGGGGAUCUUGGGACCCCAAUCUUGAGGCUGGUAGGUCAUAAUUUCCAGAGGUCCAGAAUUGCAACUGGUGUCUGGGGUUGAGGGGGCAGUCUUGUGGGAUUGAGAUCUCAAUGUGUGGGGUCUAAUGCUCCCUCUAGACAGAUAGUGUUGAAAUUGAAUUGGAGGAAACCCAGCUGUUUGUCUGCUGCAGAAUUGCUUGCUUGCUUGCUGGUGGGGAGAAAGUCCCACAUUAUCUGGGGGUCAAAGGAGUCUUGUUAGUUGAUUGCUGUUGUUGGUAUUAGAACAGAGGAAAAACAUGGCUUGAGGGUUUAAUAACAAUUGGUGUCAGAUAAAUAAGGUUUUCUAGAAAGGCCCUUACUCACAGAAAUAUGUGGUUUGGGAAGAGAAAGGAUGGAAAUGUGGGGAAUAAGGAACCUUUCCUUCCCUGAGUGACCACAUGGUCACCCAUGGCAUUGGAGCUGCAGCUGUGCUGCACCCAGUUACUAAAGGCAAAAGUUAUCAGUGGAAUUUAGAGAUGGGUCAAAUUAACUCCUGCGGAGUUGGUUUACUGGCUGCACAAGGAAAUGCAAACUAAUAAGAAAAAAAAGGGAAAUACUCAAUACCUUGGUUAUUGUUAUCUAUAAUAGCUAAGAUGGAAGUAAAAGAGAAUGCUAGGCUGGGCCUUGAGCUGGACCAAGCUCAGAUGUGGAUGUGUCUGGGUUCAGGCCACUAACCACAAAGUCAUCCACAAAGGGGAAAGUUCUGUUCCUUGGGGACAGCAGAAAGUACCUCUGAGACCUGUGAUUACCAAGAAGGUAGUUAAUGUAGCGGAAGGGCAAAACCAAGUAACUUGAAACCAGAGGGUAUCCUGUGUGACAGCACUGUCUCAUUUUGAAGAUUAGCAUUAUCAGCUUCUUGAGGAACUUUUACUAAAAUGGAUUAUGAGAUAAAUUAAUUUAGGGGCAGUAUCUUUGGUUUUAAAUGCUGCAGAGUGGAAGACCAUGUUUGGGUUGAUGCAGGACCCACAGGUCACUAUUGAACAAUUGCAGAUACGUAUAUAUGAACUAGAAACACAGGAGGUUAUUCCUGAAGAAACAGCCCACCUGCCCACAAGCCACUGUAAGGUCUGUUUACCCUGAAAAUGGGACCUGUCCAACUCCAUCUAUAAAUACCGAGUGGAGCAUCAGAUGAAGUAGCUGAUAUGCUUCCUCCCAAUAGUUCCUUGCUCAGGGCUUCAACCAGCAAGGUGGCCUGGUGUUUCAUUUUGCACUGCUCAUUAUUUUCUUGGACCUCAUCUCAGCCACCAAAAACCUUGAAAGCAAUCUGAAACCACUGAGACAUGGUCAUUCCUAAAGCCCCUUCCACUAUUUGUAAUUUAUUCUGAAUGUUGGGGGCAGCUUGCCCAGUAAAGGUCAUAUUUCUCAUUUUUAGAUUUUUCAGUGCUUCCAGAUCUAUUUCUGUGUAUUGUCAGUAAGCCCCCAAAAUUCUAAGUAUUCUGAGGGGUCUUUGUUAGGCUUUUGUUUGACCUACUGGGUGUAAUUUAAACUGCUUUGUUUCAAAACUCCUUUCUUUAGCCCUUUAAGUAUGCAAUCUCUGUAAUGUUCAAACUUAUUUCUAUGUUCCAUGUCCCAAGGAUUCCAUCAAGGGUUCGUGUAGGGAUGGUCAAGUCAGUGCAGCCCUUAGCAAGUUAUUAGGGGCUUCUUCAUAUAUCUUAACCGCCUUGAUACAGGCUCUUUUAAAGGAAAAUUCUAUGUUCUUCUGAAGUAAGGAGGGUUUUUAAGAGAGUUUGGAUAUCUGCCGGAGGAUUGUGGGUGGCAAAAAGAGAAGCAUUCUUUUCUUUCUUUGUUGCAGACAGAAGGGAUUGUAACAAACUGUUUUCUUCUCCACUGUCCUGCGAAAGAAGCUCAAGAAAUUUUGCUAGUUAACAAAUUAUUUACCACUGGGGCACAGUUACAGUAUCUGAUUUUGACAUGUCAUAAAUUAAAGAAAUGUAAUACUUUGGGAUUUUUGAGGCUUUAAAGGGGUAGAACAUGGAUAGAUUUUUACCUCCAAGAUAUACACACACAUACACAUAAACACAGACAUAAAUAUACAAGCUUGGGCAGUAUGAUGAGGAAAGACUACUAAUGCAGUCAUCCUGAUAAAUACUAAGAACCGAUAAAUAAGGGAUUUAAACUCGAUGAUACAUCAAGUCCUGUGCUACAGUUAGUUGUUAUGAUCAGAUGUCUGUAAAAUAUUUAAUAUUUGAAAAUGUUCCAAAAGAAUACCAGGGCUUAAAUAAGCAGAUUCACUCAUUCAACAAAUAUUUAUUAAGCACAUGUUAUGUGCCAGGAAUCAUUUUAGCCUCUGAGACUACUGCAGUAACCAAACAAAUCUCUACCCUCAUGUAGCUUUCAGUUGAGAAGUUAAAUUUUUGUAGAACAAGUAAUGGAUAAAUUUUUUAAAAAAAAUCAAGCUCAGUCAUCCACAUUCACUAAUUGUAGAAUCACACAUCGUGUGCACCAUUUUUAAAAAGCUCUGAUUUUAGCCCUUUUACAGUUAACUGAACUCUGACCUUAGGGGUUCUGAACACAGAGGAGUGGACUCUACUUAUUUUGCAAGGGCAAAAAGGGAGACAUACGCAGGUUCCCAGAUAAUUUCCAUUUUAUUCAUCCACCCUCACCCCCACUGAAUAUCAAAAAUCAUAACUAGAACCUGUUAAUUUUAUUUUUAAAUAUUUCUUUAACAUCGCUCAUGUCUCUCCAUGUACAUUAUCACCACGCACCACAAGUAACCAUCAUGUCUUGCCUGGGCCGUGACAAUCUCUUCCUAACUGGUCUCACCACAUUCACCUUUAUUCUGCUCCAAUUCAUUCUCUACACAUGGGCUGUCAGGUGUGCCUUUCUACCACUAGCCGCAGGGGCUAUUGAGCAACACACAGCUAGUCUACAUUGAAAUGAGCUGUAAGUAUAAAACACACACCUGAUUUCAAGCACUUAGCAUGAAAAAAGGAUGUAAAACAUCUCGUUUAUAAUGAUAAUAAUUAUUAUUAUUUUGAGACGAAGUUUCGUUCUUGUUGCCUAGGCUGGAGUGCAGUGGCGCAAUCUUGGCUUACUGCAACCUCCGCCUCCCAGGUUCAAGCAAUUCUCCUGUCUCAGCCUCCUGAGUAGCUGGGACUGCCACCAUGCCCGGCUAAUUUUUGUAUUUUUGGUAGAGACACGGUUUCACAAUGUUGGCCAGGCUGGUCCUGAACUCCUGACCUCAGGUGAUCCACCCUCCUCGGCCUCCCAAAGUGCUGGGAUUACAAGCGUGAGCCACCGCACCUGGCAUCGUUUAUAAUUUUUAUAUUGAUUCCAUGUUGAAAUGAUCCAUCGAGUUAAGUAGAAUAUAUUAAAAUUAAUUCCAUCUGUUUCUUUUUACCUUUUUAAAAGCUAUGGAUGCUAGAAUAUUUAUUAUUCGAUAUGUAGCUUGCAUUAUAUUUUUGUUGGACAGUACUGCUGUGUACUGUAAACAAAUCUAAUUAUGCCAGUCCUUGCUCACAAUCUUUCAGGGUCUUUCUGUUACUCUUUAGAUAAAGACCAAAAUCUUUAACGUGGCCUCUAGGUCUGUGAAAGAUCUCCCACCUGCCUCACUAUUUCCAUCACUUUUCAACCUUCCAUCUUGAUUUCUGAGCUCCAGUCAGCCACCUCUUUUUAGGUACUUCAGCACAGUGAUUUUUUCUAACUACAGAUUGAGACUUAAUAAUGAGACAUGAAAUAAAUUCUGUGAAUCGAGACCAGCGUUAAAAUAAUAGAAGAGAAAAGAAGGGAAGGGAAGCGAAGGGAAAAUAAAAUAGGGUACAUCACAAACAAAAGGGUAAAUACUUCAUGUAAAUGCUUGUUACGUUUUGUGUUAGUUUACUGGAUUAUGUUGUAAAAUAUAUUUUGUAUUGAAAGGAAAAUGUUUGAGAAGCAAUACUUUAACCCAGGGUUUCUCAACCUUGGCACUAUUGACAUUUUGGUUGGAUCACCCUUUGCUGUCGAGGGGCUGUCCUGUUCUGUGUAGGAUGUUGAGCAGUGUCCCUAGCCUCUACCCACUAAAUGUCAGUAGCACACCCUCUUCCAUCACGACAACUAAAAAUACUUCCAGAUUUUGCCAGAUGUCUCUGAGUAAGAACCCUUUCUCUAAGCCAUCAGGCUUGAUCUCACGACCCAGCUUUUUUCCUUAACUGAACGACACAUCUCACCUCUCAACUCCUGGGUAACUCUUACUCACUCUUUAGUUGUCAGUUUAAUUGUACUGUCCUUGGGAAAGUCUGUCCUAACUCCUCCAGGAGGAUCUUUUCCUUUUGUUACACAUUCUCCUAAAAUCAUGCUCUCUCUUUCAAGCACUUAUCAGUUUUUAAUUUUCCAUUUAUUUCUGUGAUUAUUAGGUGAAUAUCUACGUUUCUCACUAGAUAAAAGCAGGGAUCAUUUUUGUUUUACUCACAAUACAACAUUAAAUAUAUAUUUAUUCAGUGUCUACUAUGCAUUGCCUCCAUUCUAGGUGGUAGAUAUACACCGCAUACCUGAACAAGUAAAAUUCCUGCCCUUGGGUAGCUGACAGCUUUGUUGGGGAGACAUAAAAUACAGAAACAGACCAAUACUUAAGUACAAAUUAAAAAUGGAAAUGGUGCUAAAAUAAAGAUGUGUUUGGGGGUUGGAAGACCUAUUUAGACAGAGUUGUCAGGAGAAGAACUCACACAAGGAGUGAACUUUAAGUAAAAUUUGAAGUAUUAGAAAGAUACUCCCAUAUACAGACAGGGAAAGAAUAUUCAAGGAGCAAGUACUAUCUAACUCAAAGGCCUUAUAACAUGUUUCUACUAGGUUUUUAAAAGAUCAUCUGCUGUUAAGAAAAUGCAUCAAGGAGACUGAAAGUAAAGAAGGUGAAGCCACUUAGGAAGUCAUUCAGUCAAGGCAAGAGGUCAUUAGUGUCUUGGACUAGGGGAUGUCAUAGUGGUAAUGACAAGAAGUGUAUGAAAUACAAAAAUUUACUAGAUAAAUAAUAUGUCAAUUCUGACAACUGACAUACUAGGUACUUACUAAAUAUUUGCUAAUUUAAUAUCAAUGUGAAUAAUAAAAUAAUUUAAAAAUGUGAAUUCAUUCAACAUUUGCUAACACAAUGAGAUCAAAGCUUUAAGAAAUUAAGACAAAUUUGGAGUAAGUUUGAGUAUUUGCUUUUUAUUUUUGCCAUGAUAUCUGCCUCUUAAAGCUUAGUUUAAAUUCUAUAUUGUCUAAGGAAAAAUCUGUCUCCAUAGCUAUAUUCUCAUGGCAAAUUUGCUCUAGCUCCAUUGUAGCAUUUAUCAUUGUCUACCUUAGACAUUUAUGUGUUCAUCUGCCCAACUAUAUUAUGGUUGGUAGUGAAAGCUAAUUUUAAAAAAAUCAUUUGAAUUCUGAUACAAUAAACUGUAUAUUGAAGACAUUAAAUAAUGUUAAACAAAAUGUUAUAUAUUUCUCACAGAAUAUUACUUGGGAAAAUUCAAUCUCUUAAGACUUUUAUUUGAUGACUCUUUCUGUCAGAAAUAAUCUUCCAAUGGACAGGAAAUUAAUUGUUUACAGUUUUUAUUUCAAGUUAAAGUUUAUUUUAAAAAGUAGUGUUUUAAAACAUGUUUCAAUGCCAGACAUAGCAAAGACUAUUUCACUAAUACAAACAGUUUUUGAUGAUGCAUUUCAUUAUGGGAGCUGAGGUUAUAUAUAUUUCAUUUCUAUGUGAUGAAUCCCGAGGAGUAGAAUUGCUGCAUCAUAGGGUAAGUGUGUAUUUAACUCUAUAAGAAACUACCUAAUCUUUUUCCAAAGAGAUUAACCAUUUUAUACUCAGCCACAUAUGAAAGUUCUUAUUUUGCCACAUCCUUAUCAACUUUUGCUAUGCCAGUCAUUUUCAUUUCAGCCAUUUUAGUUGGAGUGAAAUGAUAUGUCAUGGAAGUUUUAAUUUGAAGUUUCCUGAUGACUAAUGAUGUUGAGCACUUCAUCAUAUGUUUAUUAGCCAUUCAUUUGUCUUUCUUUUUGAAGUGUCUCUUUUAGUCCUUUGCCCAAUAUUUAAAAUUUGCUGCAUUUUUGUUAUUGAAUUGUAGGUGUUCUUUACAUAUGGUGGAUAUAUGUAUUUUUCAGAUGUAUCUAUUAUGACUACUUUCCCCCAAUGUGUGAUUUGCCUGUUCGUUUUCCUAAUAGUGAUAUUUAAGGAACAGAAGUUUUUAAUUUCAAUGAAGUAAUUUCUCAUUUUUUUAAAUGUUUUAUGGUUAAUGUUUUCUACGGCCUAAGAAAUCUUUGUUGGCUACAACUCAUGGAGAUAUUAUUCUAUGUUUUCUUUUAAAAGCAUUAUAAUUAUAGCUUUUGAGUUUAAGUUUAUGAUCUUUUAUUUUCUGUGUGUGAUGUUUUGCAGGGAUGGUAGUUUAUUAUUUUUCUUAUGGAUAUCUAGGUUUCUUGGAACCAUUUGCUGAGAAGACUUUUCUUUCCUUAUUAAAUUGCUGCUGUAUUUUUGUAAAACUUUAAUUGGCUGUAUAUAUAAGUGAGUCAACUUCUGGAUUCCAGAUUGUUGUUGUUGUUGUUUUGAUCUAUUUUUUUCUAUCCUUAAGUCAAUAUCACAUUGACUUGAUUACUGUAACAUAAGUGUUACAAUCAAGUGUAUGUAAUUCCUUCAACUUGGAUGUUCUUUUUCAGAAUUGUUUUUAGCUAUCCUAGGUUUUUAUAAAUUUCAUAUACAUUUUAGCACUUGCUUGACAAUAUCUAAAAAAAACUGCUAGGAUUUUGUAUGGGAUGAUGUUGAAACUCUAUAUCAACUUCAGGAGAAUUAACAUCUUAAUGGUAAUUAUGUCUUCUAAUCCAUGAACAUGGAAUAUAUUACCAUUUAUUUAAGUCUCCUUUAAUUUUUAUUAAAAAUGUUAUAUAGUUUUUACUGUGGAAGUCUUGCACCGCCAUUGAUAUAUUGUUAAAUUUAUGAUUAAACAUUUUAAUGCUAUUGUUCAGAACAUUUUCUAUGAUCUUAUUUUUAUCUCUGGGAUAUGUAGUGAUGUCCCUUUUUCAUUUCUGAUAUUGCUAAUUUUUGUUCUCAUUUUCUGUUUCUCUCCCCUGAGCAUUUUAAAAGCCCAUCAAUUCUAUUAAUCUUUGCAGAAUCAACUUUUGUGCAGAAUCAACUUUCGAUUAUUGUUUAUUAUUUUAAAUUUCAUGUAUCUGCUAUUAUCUGACUUAUUUCCACUCUUUGGCUUACUUUGGGUUUAAUUUUGAAAAAGUCCAAUUAAAAAUUUUUACCAACCGUCUUCCGUUAGGUAAGAAGCCCUUUGAUAGCGAAGACAAUAUCUAAUGCUGUGUAUAUAAAGCUUCAAAAAUAUUGGUUAAAUCAAUUGCCAGAGACAGAAAUGGGAAAGUUCCAGUUGUCCAGCAUGUAAUUUGGAGAAAAAAAAAGAACACGCUGUCUUCAGGAUAGGUCCUUGACAACUAUUUUUUGAAGAGCUAUGGGCCAGGAUCUGAGCUGGGAUUUUUAAUCUGUAUUCUCAAUAUGCAUGGAAUAUAUGUGUCAGAAUCUAGCCAUUAUGCAGGAAGACCACUGCUGGACUUGAGAAAAAUUUCCACAAUGCACUAUUUUCAAUUAUGGACAUAUUAGAAAAGAGUAUUCUACAUUUUGUGCCACAUUUUCUGAAUCCAGUCUAUCAUUGUUGGAGAUUUGGGUUGGUUACAAGUCUUUGCUAUUGUGAAUAGUGCCGCAAUAAACAUACAUGUGCAUGUGAAAAUGUGGCACAUAUACACCAUGGAAUACUAUGCAGCCAUAAAAAAUGAUGAGUUCAUGUCCUUUGUAGGGACAUGAAUGAAGCUGGAAACCAUCAUUCUCAGCAAACUAUUGCAGGGACAAAAAAACCAAACACUGCAUGUUCUCACUCAUAGGUGGGAAUUGAACAAUGAGAACACUUGGACACAGGAAGGGGAACAUCACACACUGGGGCCUGUUGUGGGGUGGGGGGAGGGGGGAGGGAUAGCAUUAGGAGAUAUAUCUAAUGUUAAAUGAGGAGUUAAUGGGUGCAGCACACCAACAUGGCACAUGUAUACGUAUGUAACAAACCUGCAUGUUGUGCACAUGUACCCUAGAACUUAAAGUAUAAUAAAAAAUAUAUUAAAAAAGAAAAGAGUAUUCUAUUCAUUUUGUAUAUUUUUCCAUAUUUCUACAAAGGGUCCUAACAUAUAAGUAACUUCUGUUGCUCAGUGUAUGACCUUCGUUAAACAGUGCUUGUGCCAAAACCUCAAGAAUGCAUUACUUUCCUCUUUUGAGAGGAGAAAAAUAUAAUUUUGCAGGGUUGCAUGGGAUGAAAAUAAUGAAAAUAUACAAAUCCGUUAUUUAUAUUUAGUUGACUUAUUUGUCCCACACAGCCU
rnacentral:lncRNA from 10 species